AGUUUGAUCCUGGCUCAGGAUGAACGCUAGCUACAGGCUUAACACAUGCAAGUCGAGGGGCAGCAUUUUAGUUUGCUUGCAAACUAAAGAUGGCGACCGGCGCACGGGUGAGUAACACGUAUCCAACCUGCCGAUAACUCGGGGAUAGCCUUUCGAAAGAAAGAUUAAUAUCCGAUGGUAUAUUUUCUCCGCAUGGUGAGAAUAUUAAAGAAUUUCGGUUAUCGAUGGGGAUGCGUUCCAUUAGUUUGUUGGCGGGGUAACGGCCCACCAAGACCACGAUGGAUAGGGGUUCUGAGAGGAAGGUCCCCCACAUUGGAACUGAGACACGGUCCAAACUCCUACGGGAGGCAGCAGUGAGGAAUAUUGGUCAAUGGACGAGAGUCUGAACCAGCCAAGUAGCGUGAAGGAUGACUGCCCUAUGGGUUGUAAACUUCUUUUAUAUGGGAAUAAAGUGUUCCACGUGUGGGAUUUUGUAUGUACCAUAUGAAUAAGGAUCGGCUAACUCCGUGCCAGCAGCCGCGGUAAUACGGAGGAUCCGAGCGUUAUCCGGAUUUAUUGGGUUUAAAGGGAGCGUAGGUGGAUUGUUAAGUCAGUUGUGAAAGUUUGCGGCUCAACCGUAAAAUUGCAGUUGAAACUGGCAGUCUUGAGUACAGUAGAGGUGGGCGGAAUUCGUGGUGUAGCGGUGAAAUGCUUAGAUAUCACGAAGAACUCCGAUUGCGAAGGCAGCUCACUAGACUGCAACUGACACUGAUGCUCGAAAGUGUGGGUAUCAAACAGGAUUAGAUACCCUGGUAGUCCACACAGUAAACGAUGAAUACUCGCUGUUUGCGAUAUACAGUAAGCGGCCAAGCGAAAGCAUUAAGUAUUCCACCUGGGGAGUACGCCGGCAACGGUGAAACUCAAAGGAAUUGACGGGGGCCCGCACAAGCGGAGGAACAUGUGGUUUAAUUCGAUGAUACGCGAGGAACCUUACCCGGGCUUAAAUUGCAUUUGAAUAAUCUGGAAACAGGUUAGCCGCAAGGCAAAUGUGAAGGUGCUGCAUGGUUGUCGUCAGCUCGUGCCGUGAGGUGUCGGCUUAAGUGCCAUAACGAGCGCAACCCUUAUCUUUAGUUACUAACAGGUCAUGCUGAGGACUCUAGAGAGACUGCCGUCGUAAGAUGUGAGGAAGGUGG
rnacentral:rRNA from 1 species